rnacentral:sRNA from 1 species
AGAAGAAGAAGAAGAAGAAGAAGAAGCAAUGUCAG